rnacentral:rRNA from 1 species
AACGAACGCUGGCGGCAUGCCUAACACAUGCAAGUCGAACGAGACCUUCGGGUCUAGUGGCGCACGGGUGCGUACCGCGUGGGAACCUGCCCUUAGGUUCGGAAUAACUCCCCUAAAGGGGUGCUAAUACCGGAUAAUGUCUUCGGACCAAAGAUUUAUGGCCUUUGGAUGGGCCCGCGUUGGAUUGGCGGGUUGGUAGGGUAAAAGCCUACCAAGGCGACGAUCCAUAGCUGGUCUGAGAGGAUGAUCAGCCACACUGGGACUGAGACACGGCCCAGACUCCGACGGGAGGGAGCAGUGGGGAAUAUUGGACGAUGGGCGAAAGCCUGAUCCAGCAAUGCGGCGUGAGUGAUGAAGGCCUUAGGGUUGUAAAGCUCUUUUACCCGAGAUGAUAGUGACAGUACCGGGAGAAUAAGCUCCGGCUAACUCCGUG